AUUAUUUUCAUCAAAAGAACAGCUUUCUUCUUCCGGCAUUGCCUCCGGGAAAUAUUCCAUCUCCAUAGCUAGCUCCGCAUAAACCUGGGAAAUAAAAAAAGCAAAAACUUAAACAAGUUAAAAAUCAAAAUUUUGAAGAGUAACGUAGCUAGGGUUUAUCAUUCACUUUGCAUAAUUGGAUCAUUCAAACAAUGAGAUUUUGUCCGUAAAUUGUACAUGAGUGUGCAUAACAUUGAAAUUUUAACAAGUCUAAGCUGAAUUUUGAAGAUUAAUUACCGAUGUCGGGAGCUUGAAUGGGGAAAAACUGAUAGUUCCGCGUUUGUGAACACUAGCAGAAGUGAAUCGCUGAUUCUCGUUAGGAAUUUCGGUCCUCUGUAGAUUGUAGAUUGAGGGACCUGUAGUUAAGCAUGUGCUUGAAUCAUGUCGAUGUGAGGAAAUGGUAUGUUCUAUGGAGUUCGGAGUUCGGACUUCCCGUUUGGCCAAGC
rnacentral:lncRNA from 1 species